rnacentral:rRNA from 1 species
UACAGAGGUCCCAAGCGUUGUUCGGAUUCACUGGGCGUAAAGGGUGCGUAGGCGGUCGGGUAAGUCUGAUGUGAAAUCUCACAGCUUAACUGUGAAACUGCAUUGGAUACUAUUCGGCUUGAGAGUUGGAGGGGGGACUGGAAUUCUUGGUGUAGCAGUGAAAUGCGUAGAUAUCAAGAGGAACACCAGUGGCGAAGGCGGGUCUCUGGGCCGAUACUGACGCUGAGGAGCGAAAGCGUGGGGAGCGAACAGG